CGAGCGUCAUUAUCACCCCUCAAGCUCAGCUUGGUGUUGGGGCCUGCCCGUCACAGGGCAGCCCCUAAAAGCAGUGGCGGUGCCAUCUGGCUCUAAGCGUAGUAAUACUCCUCGCUAUAGGGUCCCGGUGGUGUCCUGCCAGAACCCCAAAUUUUAUCAUGAUUGACCUCGGAUCAGGUAGGGAUACCCGCUGAACUUAA
rnacentral:misc_RNA from 1 species